rnacentral:rRNA from 1 species
UGGGGGAUAUUGCGGCAAUGGGGGAAACCCUGACGCAGCAACGCCGCGUGAAGGAAGAAGGUUUUCGGAUCGUAAACUUCUGUUCUUAGGGAAGAAGAAAGUGACGGUACCUAAGGAGCAAGCCACGGCUAACUACGUGCCAGCAGCCGCGGUAAUACGUAGGUGGCAAGCGUUGUCCGGAUUUACUGGGUGUAAAGGGCGCGUAGGCGGGCGUGCAAGUCAGUCGUGAAAUGCCGGGGCUUAACUCCGGAGCUGCGAUUGAAACUGCAGGUCUUGAGUAUCGGAGAGGAAAGCGGAAUUCCUAGUGUAGCGGUGAAAUGCGUAGAUAUUAGGAGGAACAC